GGGAAAGUUCUUCAUCCAUGGCAGUCUAUGAUAUCAGGAUUCCUGGCAGGGACAGCUGGUCCUAUAUGCACCGGUCCAUUUGACGUUGUGAAAACAAGGCUCAUGGCUCAGAGUAAAUCUGUGGGCGAGUUGAAGUACAGAGGAAUGUUUCAUGCCAUUGCAACAAUACAUGCAGAAGAAGGAUUACGUGCCUUAUGGAAAGGACUAAUUCCCCGGCUCAUGAGGAUCCCAC
rnacentral:misc_RNA from 1 species